UCCGUAGGUGGAUGAUUAAGUCAGAGGUGAAAUCCUGCAGCUCAACUGUAGAAUUGCCUUUGAUACUGGUCAUCUUGAAUUAUUGUGAAGUGGUUAGAAUAUGUUGUGUAGCGGUGAAAUGCAUAGAUAUUACAUAGAAUACCAAUUGCGAAGGCAGAUCACUAACAAUAUAUUGACACUGAUGGACGAAAGCGUGGGGAGCGAACAGGAUUAGAUACCCUGGUAGUCC
rnacentral:rRNA from 1 species